CGGCUGUUUCUUGCUCGUGUGCCCUGCCAGUGUUUAUUUUUCAAAUAUUUUUCCUGUGGAGAAGCUGAAAGUGACUUAAUGAACUAAUCUUAGGAUUGACAUCAGACUUUACCAGGAACACGGACAGGUAACUGAAAUCCCUGGUGUGAGUGUGCCGAGGCGAUGAAGAGCAGCGCUGCCGAGCCCGUGCGCUGCCCGCGCUGCUGCGUGCCGGGAGGACGCGCGGGUGGGUCCCUCUGGGCCUGGGGACCCCGGCGCCGCGCGGCCCCUCGGCGGGCGAGCGGGUCCGGCUCCAGACAGGGCUCCGCCUUUCCAUCGUGUGCCCGUGGCUUUUGCCACGUGUUUCUAGCUCACAGUGGCUCUCACAGUCAGUUACUACAAGUACCGAUCAUGUUUGUGUUCUGGGGGUAAAGAGAGAGAAAUCUCCUAAAUUCCUGUGAUAGAAUUCUACUCUUUAAAAAUACAAGCAGGUAUUUGUGCAAACCUUUGCGGCACUGGCAUCUCGGUGUGGAAUAGUGACCAGAAGAUUUGUACAAAGCCAAAAGGAAGGCGGUAAACCUUUUCCAUCAUGAGGUGAGAUCACCUUGACUUCGCUGCCAAAGCUCGGCUCCGCGAAACACAGGUCAGAAAUAAGAUCCAGGCUGAAUACCAAUUGAAUCUCAUGGUUUUCCCGCUGUAAUUCUCAGAGACACUGUGCUGUCUUUUGCUGUCCUUGAGGCUACGCGUGUCUUCUCACCCAAAAGCUUUCAUUUCCUAAGGGGAGCCCUGGGAGGUGAGAGGCCGGCGUGUGGGAGGCCGGGUGCCUCACACGGCUGCCGUGCAGUUCUCUUCCUCGCCUGAUGGGUCGUGCUUCGUCUGUUGAAAAAUAGGAGUUUGUAGCUAAUAACUUCCUUUUGGAAUCCUGGUACAUUACGAUCGUUUAACCAACAAACGUAAAGCAUAAUUGAAAUGAAGUUCGAGUCACUGAUGCAGAAUAUGCAGCUUCACACUGCGCGUGUUUGGGGCUGAGUGCCGCUCUGCCGGCCUGCAGUUCCCAUGGCUGUCGUCAGCGUUUGCAGGUCACUGGGGUUUGACACAUGUCGGUCUGUUUCUUAUUCGCUCCCGGUGCAGUGGUGUUACAGAGAACGCUCCUGUCUGGGAACACCGAAUUAUCUCGCACACCCGGUGCUGCCCAAGGGCGCUGUAAGUUUUUCCCGACCCGCUGACUGCCUGGCAGUCUGCAGCACUGAGACUGCACGGAGUCGUUCGUUAGCACCAGUACACGAGGAUUCCUGCGUUUCUGUCUCUGAGUUUCAAAGUGAUCCGUUUCUAAAACGAGAAUGUCACUGGCCACAGAUGGUGUGUCCUGAGUGACCGCGCAACAGGCGCUGCGAGUGCAGGUGACCCUUAGUCCUGACACAGUGCUUUUCAUCUUAUGAAUGCUCUACUGAGGUCAGGUAAUGUCGUUGCAUAUGAGCACACGAGGUUAAUUUGAAGAUGCAUCAAAUUAAUUUAGCUAUUCUUCCUAGAUAAAGCGUAUGCAUGCAUGGGUGUAAAAAACGUUAGAAUAGUACAUAUUUUCUGUUGCUUUUUUGAGCAGUAGCAUACCCCAUCAACCAAAACCUCACCCACCUGCAUUGCAAAAUUAAUUAAGCGUAAUUAAAAUUGAUCUAGAAACUUCCCUGUGUAAUUUAAGUGUGUGCAGUUAAGUCAUGUUGGUUGGUGGUUUUCUGCAGGGGUGCAGUUUACAGAUGUCUGUGCUGGAAGACGCGCAGGCUGUGAGGGGCGGUUGUGCCGGGCAGUUGGUGCGCAGGCGGCGCUGCAGGCGGUGUGGCUGGGGUGGCCCCGGCACAGCGUGGCUGGGGUGGCCCCUCACACGGCCGUGGGCGGGUCGGUGGCCAUGGCCCAGCGCUGCUCUGGCAGCAGGACACGCUCUGCGUGCCGCCCGGAGGGACCUGGUGGUUUGGUCGUGUAGGACGUGUCUAAGGUCCCACCCCAGAUCCCUUCACAAAACGGUUUGUAGUGGUGUUUCUCAGCGGUGCCGAUUUUCCGCAGUGUCGUGAGCGAGGCAGAGCAGGGACAGACUGGCCAAGGGCGGUUCCCUGCGUGAGGUCCUGCCAGCCCCGUGUCACCUGCGUGAGGUCCUGCCAGCCCCAUGUCACUUGUGUGAGGUCCUGCCAGCCCCAUGUCACUUGUGUGAGGUCCUGCCAGCCCCGUGUCACCCGCGCUCGUGCGGGAACCUCGCGCGGCAGAAAACGUCCCGCUCCCUUCAGCCUGUGCGAACGGGUGUUCACCGUUCUUUCCGCUGUUCAGUAGCAUCCUUAACACCAGGAAUUUUAAGGGUUAAUCCAUUGACCUAUCAUCAUUGUCUGCUUUACUAAAUUUAUCUCUUCUCUUCAUGUUGACCUUUUGAAUUCCCUCUUGAGACCACAAUGUGCUGAACACUUGGACCCUGAGAUGCCGCCGGCAGUACCCGUGUUUUGGAAACACCGCGUGUACCAAACACAGGGAAUGAAGCAUAUUUCUAACAGAUUUAUCACUUUAACUGCUGGAAGGGAGAACCUGAGAGCUGUUUCAGACGUGGAGCCCAGACGCUGAAGGGCCAUGCGCUAAAUCAGAUGCCAGAAGUGUUGUGCUUAUUAAUUCAUAAUUAAUAGUCAACAAAUCAUUAAUAUAUUAUUUAUUGAACAUUUUAUGGCAACCUUAAUUGGUGUGUGGGUAUAUAAUUAGUUUAUGCUUCUUACAGAAGCAAAAUCUGCAAGAGGUGAAACUCGUGUCUUGUAGACAUUCCAUCAUCUACUGUGCGGUGUCAGAGUGGAUAGUGAAUGCGCACAUGGCAAGAAAUGCACGUUUUUCAGGUGAUUUGUGCAUGUUUUGAGGCUGAUCUCCAACCUUAUUGCUCUGUAGCGAUGAGUUGUUGAAUACAGUUGGAAAGGUUGGAAACGCUGAAACCUGUUUCUGCGUACUCUGGGCUUACAUCGGUGUUUGUAAGUCUGAUCUUGGGUCUUUCCUCUUCUGCAAGAGCUGACGCUGGUUAAUCCCUCUUGGAUCCACAACAAUGCCGUUUUGCACAGUGUUUGAACGUUGCAGUUUUGCUCCUAAGCUGCUCAAAAUCUGACUCUCAGAUGACAAACCCACCCUUCUGUAUUUCUGAGAGGAGGAAUGUGUCUUGUGGCUGAUUGCUGCCUUGAGUAAGAGGUAAUUGUGGUGAGUGAGAACAACCAGAGCCUCUUCCAUCGCUCCUGCAGCAGGACAAGCGCAGGGCCGCGGGUCUGGAAGAGCCACCGUCACCUCUGUGCCAAAGGAGGACAUUGACUAAAGCUCGACUGAGUCUUGACUGAGCCAGGACUGUCAAAACCUCGUUCUGUCCUGUUAAAUCUUUAAACAGUUAGGAAGGAAACAUGUAAUACAGCACUGCAGGUCAGACCAAAGAGCCCUUUUUAACACAUGACAGGAAUUGUUCUUUCUUUCUCAUGCUCUUCAAUGAGUGUUUUCUUUUGCUCCAUGGUGGCUGGUAGUUUAAAACUGUAACAGGGUUCCCUUCUUCCUUCAGCGAGGUGGUAUUAAUCCAUCCUUAUCAAAUAGAAAUGACAUCACUUUAUUUCUGAGACAAACCUGUGUAUCAUGGAAUCCAUUAUUCUUAGUAGCUUACAAGCUUGAGAUCACGUUUUCAUCCCAGUUAGAAAUGUGCAGAGGAUCCUGGGUUGGUUUUAUCGGCUCAGACAGUUCAUUGUAAAUAACUUUGUCUCAUAAAGAUUUUAACUUCCUUUACAAGCUAAACUGAUUCUAGGAAAUGUUGGACACGAAAUCCUAUGCAAAAUGGAAAUGUAAUAAAGAUUUAUUAAAUUAAAAUGCAUAAGCUUCAGGUCUAAUAAGGACAGUUUUAUUAAUGAAUGUAAAUUGCAGCAACCCAUCUGAGGCACCUGCUAAAUGUUCAUUAUAAAUUACUCUUAUAGACAUUGUGAUGAGUUUCAUAUUGUAGCCAGACGUAUAAAAGCAUGCAGAUUGCUUCCCCAAGGGACUGUAUAUUUACUUAACAGUGUAGUUAAUUGCAAUUAUUUAUUUUCCAGUGAUUGCAAAUGGUUUCUGCAUUAAAGAUAUAUGUGGCUAUUAGGAAUUAUUCAAUUACCUCUCUUAUUCUCAGUAGUCUAAGCUAAACCUGAGCUGGAUUCCCGGCGGUGAGUCCGUGGUGUGGGAGCUCGGGUGCUCCUCAGCUUUCUGCCGGGGCCACAGCUCCGCCGUCGCGGGUCCUCAGCCGAGCCUGAGAAGCACGGAUCGCCCGUCUCCGCAGCUGAGCCUUUUGACGGCUUCCAUUCCGUCCUGCUGCUGCCACGCUUCUUGGCAAGAUUCAUAGGAGGUUAAUUAAAUCCAUCUUCAAAACAACGAGGGGCCAAUGAGCCAUAUCCUCAUUACAAUAGUAAAUUAAAUGAUGCAAUUGUUUCUACUUCCAUCGUGGAUUAGGGGAGUGAUGAGUGAACAAAUUGUUCUCUGGCUGCUCCUCAGGGGCCCUGCAGGGUCUGGGACAUGUGGUCUUACGCUGGCUGUGACCUGCGGCUGCAGCAGAGGUGACAGCGCGUGGUCGUACGCCGGCUGUGACCUGUGGCUGCAGCAGAGGUGACAGCACGUGGUCGUACGCCGGCUGUGACCUGCGGCUGCAGCAGAGGUGACAGCACGUGGUCGUACGCCGGCUGUGACCUGCGGCUGCAGCAGAGGUGACAGCGCGUGGUCGUACGCCGGCUGUGACCUGCGGCUGCAGCAGAGGUGACAGCGCUGUGGCGGCAGGUCCCGCAGGCACCGCCGCGGGAAGCAGGACGCUGGGCGCAGCCCGGAGGAGCCGUGUUCCCGGCGGAGCUCGGCAGCUCCUCCUGGGUCAGAUGCAAAUUAAUACAAACGCGGCUACAGAGCAGAACAGAAAAGAUGAUACGUUGAUCAAAUUUGGCACUGCUUGGGCCGUAAUUAAAACGUACACGAAUUAAAUACAAUUAUCUUGUGCUUUCUAAUAGGGCUGAGCGUCGUUAAACUAAUUAAUAAUGCAGUCUAUAAGCUGGGCUGUGCUGCUGUGAUUGUUCGGAGCGCAUGUUUGAUGCCCUGCGCGGCAGCUGGGCGGCUCAGCUGGCGCGGGUGACAGCGGCACUGGCAGCGGGUGACAGCGGUGACAGCAGCGCCCGGCCCCGCACGGCCCGGCCGAGCUGCCGCUGCCACACCUGCCGUUGGGCACCCGCUGACACGGCGGCGACGGGCAGCACCGGGACGGGUCCCUCUCGGGGCGCCUGUGGGGGCGCGGGGCUUCUGAGGACAAUCUCUGUUUCUGGAUGUCUCCAGGUCAGGCUGGUGUCACAGCCCAAGUGACAGGGAGAGGCGGGGGCUGGAGAGGCUCCUGGAGCACAGGCACCUCCGUCUGCGGCUCGGGUCACCUGCUGGCACCAGGAGGGUGAUGCUGGCAGCAGCCGGAGGGCCCGAGGGAGGCCUCGCAGCUUUCCUCAGCUGGCUGGUUCAGGAGGCCGAGAGUUUAUGCAAAUGCACAUAGAAAAAUUGUCCUGACAAUGGCCGCAGUUAAUAAGAUGCCGAUGGCAGAUCCCGGGUGGCCACUGCAGCCUCCCAGGCUGAACAGUGCUCGUCUCAGUCACAGAACGUCCUGAGCUGGAGGGACCCCCAGGACCAUGGAGUCCAGCUCCUGUCCCUGCACAGGUCCCCCACAGGUCACCCCGUGUGUCUGAGGACGGUGUCCAGUCUCUUGAACACUGUCAGGUUGGGCUGUGACACCUCCCUGGGAGCCUGUUCAGUGCCCAGCACCUCUGGGGAAGAACCUUUUCCUCAUGUCCCACUGACCCCCCGGCACAUCUCCUGCCGUUCCCAUCUAAGAGGGUUACAGGUUAACUUCUGCUUGGUGAUGUGCUCACUCAGAAACAGAUCCCGAGAUCUGUUUGCCAAACCCUUAGACAGUCGCAGGGUUUCGCAGCUGUACCACGCGGAGCGUUGGGGCGGGGGCGGGAGCGCCUCGUCGCACGCUCAUCCGCACGCGUGUCGCCAUCGAGGGGUUCGAGUCGGGGCUCAUCGUAUUGCGGAGACUGCAGCUAGGAAAAACACUAGAGCCAUUAAUAUAACCAUUAAUGGCUUGAAAAUUACUUUUAUAAAAGCAGGUGUAAUUUGAAUAAUUAAUUGGAGUCUUGUAAUGCACAAUGAAAGUCUGUAACAGGUAUUUAACUAAAGCUACCUCUGAAUUUUUUCUGCUGGGAUCUAGUAUAGAAACUCGUCACCUUCACUGAGGCAAAAUAUCACCUGGUAGAUGUUAUAAAAUAUCUUUUUCUCCAUCUGAGAAUGAUGUCAUUUUAGAAGAAAUAGGCACCUGGGAAAAAACUGCAUUCUUUUUCCGUUUCACUUGGUUCCUGGUUGUCACCAUGAUGCAGAAUGUUGACAUGUGUGGGCAAAUUAUGCACUGGUAUUUGAAAGGCACCCAUUGAUGCUAUAAAAUAAGAGGGAAGAAAGAGCUUGCACUCUGCAUAUUUGCAGCAGUACAGCAGAAGCAUGUGUAUACGUAUCUUCAUUGUCAUAUGUGGAAGUCUGGAAGGGGCCUCUUCAAAACACCCUGUAGUACAGAAUGGUGGUUUGCUUGCUUACCUAAACAAAAUGGAGCAGAAUUUUGUAUCCGUCUGAAAAUGAAGGAGCGGGAUCGUAUCUGCCUCUGUGCAACACGCAGGAACUCCUGUUGCAAUUACACCUUUUAUUCCUGAGUUGUGGUCAAAUACAGCAAGAGCUGAUGAACUGAGUGCGCAGUCUCGGGGUAUGUGAGCAGCUGUAUUAAAACAUUUUAAAAAAUCUGUUUAACAGAUUUUUCCUGAAAAUAGUUAUUCUCAAAAGUGGGGGAAAAGUACAGGAAGGAAGCAAGAUCGGCAUUUUGUGAAAAUAGGAAAACCUGGUUUUUAUUUAGAUGGGACGCUGUAGGUGGAAGAACCCUGUCGUCACUCUGAGGUUCGCAGUGGCACCUCCUUACCACCCACUAGUGAUGAAUGGGGCGGUGCUUACGGAAAAUGGGCAAAUUGCAAUGCCUCAAAUAUGUAAAGCUUGUUUGUGCCGGGUCAUUUGCAUGGAUCAGGCAGCAAACACCUUUUGUAGAGACACUAGUUUGCUCUUGAAUUAAAUCAUUUGCCCUGUAAUUCAAAUCUCAAUCCCUUCUGUUGGCUACAUAGCUAGGGCCACCUUGCCUAAACUGCUGUGCGGUGGCAGGUGGAAGGCUUGAGCUCCACACGGCUCGGGCGUUGGUGUGUAACAGCGGUGCAGGAACUCUCUGCGCAGAUGCUGCUGCCCCGGCUCUCACAGCAGCUCAGUUACCGCGGUGCCGGUUGCUGUGGUUCUGCGGUUCCACGUGUGAGCUGCGGGACAGCAUCGCUCGUCCAUCAGCACAGCACCGCUCCAUGCCCGCAUCGCUCGUCCAUCAGCACAGCACCGCUCCAUGCCCGCAUCGCUCGUCCAUCAGCACAGCACCGCUCCAUGCCCACAUCACUCGUCCAUCAGCACAGCACCGCUCCAUGCCCGCAUCGCUCGUCCAUCAGCACAGCACCGCUCCAUGCCCGCAUCGCUCGUCCAUCAGCACAGCACCGCUCCGUGCCCGCAUCACUCGUCCAUCAGCACAGCACCGCUCCAUGCCCGCAUCGCUCGUCCAUCAGCACAGCACCGCUCCAUGCCCGCGUUGCUCGUCCAUCAGCACAGCACCGCUCCGUGCCCGCAUCGCUCGUCCAUCAGCACAGCACCGCUCCAUGUCCGCAUCGCUCGUCCAUCAGCACAGCACCGCUCCAUGCCCGCAUCGCUCGUCCAUCAGCACAGCACCGCUCCAUGUCCGCAUCACUCAUCCAUCAGCACAGCACCGCUCCGUGCCCGCAUCACUCGUCCAUCAGCACAGCAGCGCUCCGUGCCCGCGCAGGGCUGGAGGGCUGCUCUGCUGGAAACCCAUAGGCACUGUCCUGCUCUCCGGUGGAGAACGAGAGCUUCCUCUGAGUUUCAGGGUAAAAAAAGGUACUUAUUGACUCCACUGGUAAGCAGCUGAGGUGCUCCUGCUUGUCAUCAACUAAUGGCCCCACGUUAGGCAGCUGGAACGUAGGUCUGUCCCACCUGGUGGCCAUUGUCAUGCAGGUCCAAGGGGCAAAUCCAGAUGUGGAGAGCACAGCGGGGAUCACUGAGAGAUGGGGUUUGAAGGACAGACUCGUGACCCACCUGUACCGACUUGGGAAACAUGCGCCAUGUCUUCUUGUUGCUAGAUUCAGGUAAUCAGUAUGUGGUUAAUUGCUUUAUUUUAAGCUGUAUGUCUCUGAGGCAUAGGAGAGGAAAUGGGUAGCGUUACUCUAAAUGUUCCCCUUACCCAGAUACCGUUCAUUUCAGCUACUGCUGAAAAGGUGAAGGGCCUGAAGUGGCAGCAGUGGGACCGUUGCCCUGUUCUCGCCGCGUCUCUGAGGUGGCACCACCUUGGUCUUGGUGCCACAUCGCCAUGGAGGUUCUCUGUGUCCUCUACAUCUCUUAGAUUGCAGUCUGACCAUGGACAUCGAGUUUCUUCUCGCACCAAGCCCAAAAGGCUCCCUUAGUGAAGAGUGGGAACAGGGCAGGUUACGAGUUGCUGGCAGUGACUGAUACAUUGUCUGUUGUGGAAAUGUUAGCGUCUAAUCUCUGCGUUAUUUAAAAUCCAAUCCUGAGUUUCUGCAUUACUGCUUAUCCAAGAACUCCGUUAGGGUGUUGUUUACAGCUAUUAUAAACUUUCACAAGGCUCAAUGACCUGUAGUCAUUUAAUGUGUAAAGCCACUAAAGAGUUAAAGCAAAUUUUAUGAAAAGAGAUUAUAGGAUCUUUAUCACAUGUUGUUUAUCUGAUCAACAGUUAACAAUUUAAGACAGUAUUAUCCUAGUAAAAAGAAGAUUUGUUUCAGAUACUGACAUAAACAUCCCCUCAUAAUAGUGGCUUUUCAUUGACUGCAUUGCAAUGUACCAUAAGCUUAAAGGCACAACAGCUUCUUUGUGUGGCUCAAUAAUGCUUGUCCAGAGUGAUGUCAGUCAAUUUUUGACCUAUACAGUGUGAUGUUAUUCUCAACAAUCAUAGAAUAGGGUUUUUUUUCCUUUAAUGAGUGAAGAUUAUGCCAAUAAAAUCCUUUAAAAUUA